AUUGAACGCUGGCGGCAGGCUUAACACAUGCAAGUCGAACGAGUGGCGGACGGGUGAGUAAUGCUUGGGAAUCUGGCUUAUGGAGGGGGAUAACGACGGGAAACUGUCGCUAAUACCGCGUACCAUAGGAUGGGCCCAAGUGGGAUUAGGUAGUGGGUGGGGUAACGGCUCACCUAGGCGACGAUCCCUAGCUGGUCUGAGAGGAUGGCCAGCAACACUGGAACUGAGACACGGUCCAGACUCCUACGGGAGGCAGCAGUGGGGAAUAGGGCACAAUGGGCGCAAGCCUGAUGCAGCCAUGCCGCGUGUGAGAAGAAGGCCUUCGGGUUGUAAAGCACUUUCAGCGGGGAGGCGUUACCCGCAGAAGAAGCACCGGCUAACUCCGUGCCAGCAGCCGCGGUAAUUC
rnacentral:rRNA from 1 species